CCUACGGGAGGCAGCAGCCGCGGUAAUACGGAGGAUCCGAGCGUUAUCCGGAUUUAUUGGGUUUAAAGGGAGCGUAGAUGGGUUGUUAAGUCAGUUGUGAAAGUUUGCGGCUCAACCGUAAAAUUGCAAUUGAUACUGGCAGUCUUGAGUACAGUUGAGGUAGGCGGAAUUCGUGGUGUAGCGGUGAAAUGCUUAGAUAUCACGAAGAACCCCGAUUGCGAAGGCAGCUUACUAAACUGUGACUGACAUUGAUGCUCGAAAGUGUGGGUAUCAAACAGGAUUAGAAACCCUAGUAGUCCCUUAGA
rnacentral:rRNA from 1 species